CUGCUGCUAAGUUUUCUCUACCAGUGAAAGAAAAAAGUCUUCUCCUGCUUUCUGAUUGUGGCAGCAAAGAUUAAAUGGGGGAAUACAAGA
rnacentral:snoRNA from 1 species